UAAUCAUAAUCUUAAAUCUCUUCAAUUUAGAUUAGCAAUCCAGAUGGCAAUCCACGAGUGGGACUAAAACCCAACUCAUUUUGGUUAUUGAUAGAAAAACAUAUGCUGUCUUAAUGUUUAGUACAUCAUAAGAAAGUUUACAAACGAGAGGAGGCCAUUCGGCACAUCUUGCUCGUUUGGUCAGGACAGGAAUAUGAUGUGUAAGUGUAUCAAUAACUUCAUAUUUGGCCUUGCUUUUUAAAUUUUUUUUUGGUGUUGAACUUUGAACUCUGUCAGAUCAGCGGUGGCUGGGACAGGAGACUGUGCAUCUGGGAUUUAGAAACUGGUGAACUACAGGACACCUUCUGCAACCCGGAUCUUGACGGCUGGCAUGAACUGAAGGAGGUGGCGUGUGAUGGAGUCAUUUUAGACCUGGCCUAUUCUCCAAAGAGAAACGAGUUUGCAUACUCCUCCAGUGAUGGGCUGAUCUACAUACGGCAGUUCAGCCCUGUGGGCCGGGAGAUGAGGUUGGUCAAUGUGCUGCAGGGGCACCAAGCUGACAUCACCGCCAUCGUAUGGCACCACCUGAGCGACAAGUGGAUCAGCGGCUCUGAGGAUGGCACUAUCCGGAUAUGGGGUAUAUGACCCAGAGUCAUAUUUACUAGUUCAAAGAAAUGCUGGGCACACCGAUUCCAUCCGCUCUGUGCUGCACAUCCCAGAAAGGAAGCAGUAUGUGACAGCUUCAUCAGACAUGACUAUACGGAUGUGGAAUUCUUACACCAUGCUACCUCCAAACACCCAGCUGAGCUGAGCAAGGAGCAGCACAAGAGAUAUCCUGUUCUGCAUUGCAGCCCAGCCUCCAUGAGCAGCACAAAAGAUAUCCUGUUCUGCAUUGCAGCCCAGCCUUCACGAGCAGCACAAGAGAUAUCCCAUUCUGCAUUGCAAC